rnacentral:rRNA from 1 species
AUACGGAGGGUGCGAGCGUUAAUCGGAAUUACUGGGCGUAAAGCGUACGUAGGCGGUUGGUUAAGUUAGAUGUGAAAGCCCCGGGCUUAACCUGGGAACUGCGUUUAAAACUGGCGAACUAGAGUUGAGUAGAGGGGAGUGGAAUUUCAGGUGUAGCGGUGAAAUGCGUAGAGAUCUGAAGGAACACCAGUGGCGAAGGCGACUCCCUGGACUCGAACUGACGCUGAGGUACGAAAGCGUGGGUAGCAAACGGGAUUAGAAACCCUAGUAGUCC